AUACUUACCUGGCAAGGGCGAUUCCAUGAUCAAGAAGGUGGUUUCCCCAGGGUGAGGCUCACCCAUUGCACUCCGGUCAUGGUGACCCCCAAUUUCCCCAAAUGUGAGAAACUCGACUGCACAAUUUGUGAUAGUGAAGGUCUGUGUGCUCGCUCUCCCCUA